UGGGGAAUCUUGGACAAUGGGCGAAAGCCUGACCCAGCAACGCCGCGUGAAGGAUGAAGUAUUUCGGUAUGUAAACUUCGAAAGAAUAGGAAGAAUAAAUGACGGUACUAUUUAUAAGGUCCGGCUAACUACGUGCCAGCAGCCGCGGUAAUACGUAGGGACCAAGCGUUGUUCGGAUUUACUGGGCGUAAAGGGCGCGUAGGCGGCAAUUCAAGUCAUCUGUGAAAUCUCCGGGCUUAACUCGGAACGGUCAGAUGAUACUGCUUUGCUAGAGUGCAGAAGGGGCAAUCGGAAUUCUUGGUGUAGCGGUGAAAUGCGUAGAUAUAGGAAGGAACACCAGUGGCGAAGGCGACCACCUGGACUGAUACUGACACUGAGGUGCGAAAGCGUGGGGAGCAAACAGGAUUAGAUACCCACGUAGUCCCUGAGCGGGCUGGCAAGGCGCAU
rnacentral:rRNA from 1 species